rnacentral:rRNA from 1 species
UACGGAGGGUGCAAGCGUUAUCCGGAUUCACUGGGUUUAAAGGGUGCGUAGGCGGAUAGGUAAGUCAGUGGUGAAAUCUCCGAGCUUAACUCGGAAACUGCCGUUGAUACUAUUUGUCUUGAAUACUGUGGAGGUAAGCGGAAUAUGUCAUGUAGCGGUGAAAUGCUUAAAUAUCGGGAGGAACACCAGUGGCGAAGGCGAUCACCUGGGGUUGUUCUGACGCUGAGGAGCGAAAGCUAGGGGAGCAAACGGG